UUAUCAUUGUGAGGGGGGCAGUUUCGUGAGGGGCUGAUUUGGUCUCCCCAGAGUAACGGGAUCUGCUCCUCACGAAUGGGCAUCUUAGGGAAACAUCGACCGUGAAACAUCUCUCAUGAAUAAUAAUUAAUAAGUAUGGAAGAUGUUCUAAAUGCAUGAUCGGAUGUGCGUGUGAGGCGCGAGGUGUGAAAAGCAGAUCCGGUCUUUAUGUGGUGUGACCCCACUUCCUCUCACAUGCCGUCCAACAGUCUUCUCGCCAAUGCCAAUCUCCGGCCAUUUCUUUCGAUCAGAUUUGCAAUCCUCUUGCGAUUUACAUCCACUUUUAUACCAUUUUAGUUCCCAUUCGAAUCUCACCGUCCUCUACUUCUAUGCUAGUCCAAACCAAUCUCCAUUGCCAGAAAACAUCUGAACUGCCAUUCAACGUGUUCAUUUAAACAUUGGAGCUCUAGAUCUGGCUUCCAGCGUUUGCCUCAUCCAGAUCUGGUGUUUUACUGAUACCAAAAUGUUCCAGUCUCUACCGACUUGUUCUGGUGAUAGGGCAAGUCAUCUGACAAUCAAUCUUCACUUGAAUACAGAUCAACAAGCAAAAAAAAAAAAAGUCCUCCCCAGUUCUUUCCUUUGUUAUUAAUUCUAGGGAGAACGACGGUUCAGCCCAGAGUCAGAAUUUUUAGGCCCAGAGUAUAGUUGGGGUAGGCGUCAGUUCGGAAUUGGUGUCAAUUCACGAGCGGGCAUUGGUGUAUAGAAUGGGCGUAUUUGACAUUUUGAAUUUUUAUAAAUCUGCAGUAGAAUUCAGAAAUCUGAAAUGGGCUUGUCCGUAUUUUUCCGUUAAUUCUAUUAUUAUUGGGAAAUGUACAUUUACUAUAUUAAAAUCUAAAAGUCAUGCUUCUAAA